rnacentral:rRNA from 1 species
UACAGAGGUCCCGAGCGUUGUUCGGAUUCACUGGGCGUAAAGGGUGCGUAGGUGGUGGGGUAAGUCGGAUGUGAAAGCUCGGAGCUCAACUCCGAAAUGGCAUUGGAAACUGCCCUGCUCGAGGGUCGGAGGGGGGACUGGAAUUCUCGGUGUAGCAGUGAAAUGCGUAGAUAUCGAGAGGAACACCCGUGGCGAAGGCGAGUCCCUGGACGACACCUGACACUGAGGCACGAAAGCUAGGGGAGCAAACAGG